ACUUGUGCUAGUUUAGAAAAAGAAAAAGAAUAACUUUAUAAAAAUAAUUUUUUUAUUUUCAAAGAAAAUAUAAUUUUGAUGGUCUCAUUACCAAGCUAAAUGGUGGAACACUAUGAUGUUUUAUAUCCCUUUAUGAUAUCUAUUAGGAUGAAGUGGCCAAUCUACUUAAACAAAUUAGUUAAUUCAAUUAAGCUGACUUAGGUCAGCAACUAAUGCAAGCCCCCCAACAUCUCCACAUCACAUCAAAAUUAAAUCUCC
rnacentral:lncRNA from 1 species